UUAAUUUAUUAAUAAACUAAACAUGUUUAUGAUUGAUGUUACCAAGACAUCAAAACUGCAAAAUAUUACCGCCUGGAAGAUACACUUUAAUGAUAGCAUAUAUACGACACGUAAAUUAUAACAAAGAAUACUUUAUUACAUUUUUAUUCUCCAACCGAAGACUGGACAACAUAGAAGCUGAUAUUUUUCAUGUCGAACACUCAGAUUCCGUUGGGCAUAAAUUGAAAGUGGCAUGCCUUAUAACAAAUCAAAUAGUAUCUCUUUGGUAUAAUGAUGAGUUGCUAUGGUCGAAAGCAGGUUUUGUUACAUUGCUUGCAAUGUACAUCUUAUGUCAGAUUUCUCAAGAUUAUGACAUAAUGAAUUUAUUUAUCGUCGAAACAGAAACGGAAAUUUUUUCUUUUUGCUACUCUUUCAAAUAAAAAUGAAAAGAAUUCACUUAGUUAUCUUGUAGAUCAUUUAAAAUAUAUAAUCAAAUAACUGACUUAUGGAACAUAAUGCAAACUUUUAUACCAAAUAACUCAACCACAUUUAUUGUAAAAAGACUUAUAUCUGUUUGGAUAGCGGAAAAAUAUUAUCCUGUACUGUACGUGAUACGAAGUUAUUUGAAUAAUAGGACAAUAUUCAAAUAUCUCAAUUUCGAUUUUAUUGACGAGGAUACAGAAUAUCUUUCAGCAUUCGUGACGUAUACAACAAAAUAAAAAAUAAAUUUUUACGAUAUUUUUGCAAAUAAAUUCUUUUGACUAUCACCGCAGAAACCAGUAGUGCAAAAGUUUGAUGAAAAUGAUUGGAUUAUAGUCAAUUUACAACAAACAGGAUAUUAUCGUGUUAAUUAUGAUACUGACAAUUGGCUUAAACUUGCGCCGUACAUGAAUUCUACGAAAUAUAUCGACAUACAUGUUCUCAAUCGAGCGCAAAUCAUAGAUGAUGCGUUUCACUUGUUCAUACGUUAUCAACUUGAUUAUGCUACGUUUUGGAAAAUUACCGAAUUUUUAGCGCUAGAAACGAAUUAUGUAGUAUGGUAUCCGAUGUUUAAAGCUUUUAAACAUAUGACUUUUAUAGUUUCAAUUAAAGAUGCUAAAGACGUAAUGGUAGAUAAUAUCAAAUUUCUAUAAGAAAGAUUGCAUCAUAAUAUUAUGUUUACAGGGUAAUUCAAUACAACCUGAUAUCCUUGAAAUGUCGUAUUUUUGAGCAACAUUUAAAAUAAUUUUCUGUUUAGCAAAUUUUUGUCCAAAGGUUAGUUUUUGAGAUAUAAUUGAAAAUAAUUUGUUACUCGUACAUAUGUGAGUCCGGUGUGAUGGGCAGGCAGGGACUGUGCAACGCAUCAUAAAAGUAACGUAACACUUCACAGUCACAGUGUGUGUGAGUGUGAGUAGCGAAGUAUUUUUAAUUAUAAAGAAAAGCCUAAGUUUCGGACAAAAUUUUGCAAAAAGAACAAUCGUUUUAGAAAUUGCUCAAGGAUAUGAUAUUUCAAGAACAUCAGGUUGUUUUGAUUCAUUUUGUAU